AGCUCCAAUAGCGUAUAUUAAAGUUGUUGCAGUUAAAAAGCUCGUAGUUGGAUUUGUGGUGUACUUCGGCGGCCCGUCACAAUGUGAUGGAGCUUGCUGAAGUCGCCAUCCUUGGGUGGAUCCUAUGUGGCAUUAAGUUGUCGUGUAGGGGAUGCCCAUCGUUUACUGUGAAAAAAUUAGAGUGUUCAAAGCAGGCUUAUGCCGUUGAAUAUGUUAGCAUGGAAUAAUAAGAUAGGACCUUGGUACUAUUUUGUUGGUUUGCGCACCAAGGUAAUGAUUAAUAGGGACAGUUGGGGGUAUUCGUAUUUCAUUGUCAGAGGUGAAAUUCUUGGAUUUUUGAAAGACGAACUACUGCGAAAGCAUUUACCAAGGAUGUUUUCAUUAAUCAAGAACGAAAGUA
rnacentral:rRNA from 1 species